rnacentral:rRNA from 1 species
UACGGAGGAGGCAAGCGUUAUCCGGAAUUAUUGGGCGUAAAGCGUCCGCAGGUGGCACUUCAAGUCUGUCGUCAAAGACUGGGGCUUAACCCUGGAAAGGCGGUGGAAACUGAAGCGCUAGAGUGCGGUAGGGGUAGAGGGAAUUCCCGGUGUAGCGGUGAAAUGCGCAGAGAUCGGGAAGAACAUCGGUGGCGAAGGCGACUUUCUGGCCUGUUCUUGACGCUGAGGCGCGAAAGCUAGGGGAGCAAACGGG